UACGUAGGGUGCGAGCGUUAAUCGGAAUUACUGGGCGUAAAGCGUGCGCAGGCGGUGAUGUAAGACCGAUGUGAAAUCCCCGGGCUUAACCUGGGAACUGCAUUGGUGACUGCAUUGCUGGAGUAUGGCAGAGGGGGGUGGAAUUCCACGUGUAGCAGUGAAAUGCGUAGAGAUGUGGAGGAACACCGAUGGCGAAGGGCAGCCCCCUGGGCCAAUACUGACGCUCAUGCACGAAAGCGUGGGGAGCAAACAGG
rnacentral:rRNA from 1 species